CCUCGGACACGCCUGGAGCUGAGAGCUCUUUGUUUUUUUGGGUUUUUUUCUUUUUAUGGUAUCGCUAUAACAGCUUUUCUUGGUCUUUUAACAGCUCAUUCAGAAGGGGAAGGACAGGGAAUUAAAAGGCUUUUUUUCAUUACCUUUUCUAGUUAGUCUGAUUUUUCCAGUGGGGUUUGUUCCCGCUGACAGCAACGAAACCCCCGUUUUGUGUCUGAGGGCAGCAUCUCCAAAACAGUAAGAAAGAAGUAUUCAUCUGUGGGCUGCAUCCUGGAAGAAGAAGUCGUUUGGCUCAGUGGUGGGCAGGAUUAUUGGGGCUGAGCAUCAGUCCAGAAGAAGGUGAGCAUCAGUCCAGAAGAAGCGCCUCAGGAGGUCAGACUGAAGGUCUGUCUAGCCCUGCGCCUUGUCUCAGACCCUGCUGAGUGGGUGGUUGCUUACAGAAAGACUACGAACCAUGCAUGACGGUAGCGGUUUAAGGACUUCCUAUGCCAGUUCUUGCAUCAGUGCCACGCUGCUCAUUAAUGAUGGGGAACCUAGCCACUGAUGUGGGUGACAUCCCUGCUUUAGGAGCUUACAUGGUUUAAAAGACGAUGUGAGAAAAAGAAAUGAAAGGGUAUUGAGG
rnacentral:lncRNA from 1 species